CCCACAGUACAGACUGCGAUGAAGAUGGUGAUGAGGAGGGAGAGGCUGGGUGAGGUGGGGAGGUCUCUCCACAAGUCGCAGCAUGCCAGGGAAGAACCUUGAUGCUGAAGGAGCCUAAGGGGGAGAGAAGGAGGAAGUCCCAUUUGUAAGCCACCCUUCUAUAGCAGCAGUGGAUUCAGGGAGGAAGGAUGGUGCCAGGGAGAGCAAGGAGCCAAAGAACUGAGAAGUGGACAAGGACCUCCGUUCUGGUAGCUACAUACGUUUGGGGAUCUGGGAAGAAUGUCCUCCGAAUGGAAGGAUUAGCCAGCCAGGGGCUUGGACCAGACUCCUGAGCAUCAGAACCCUGAGAAGAAAAUGGAGCAAUAUGAACUACAGACAUUCACCACCAGGGGACGCUGCCACCUGUACCAGGGCUAUUCCCAAACCUGAGGACUUCAGCUUAAUGACUAAGCAUGUUUUCUAUAACUUUACACAGUACCUUUGCUUGUGUGCACACUCUCUUCCAGCUCUAAGAUACGAGAUUCAGUAAUGUUGUAUAGUUAGUUCCUCAAUGCUAAGGGUUUUGUUAUGAUCCUGAAAGUCCCCAGAAUCAAAUAUAUGCUGUUGGGAAAAACGGGGUCAUGGGACUAAUAAUCAUGUGUGAACUUUUGAAAGCAUAUACGCUGUAGUUUAAAUCUGUACAUAUAUAAAAUUCACUCAUGUAGGUACAAAACUCCAAUCACUUAUCUCUUUAUACACCUACAUGAAAGAAACAAAGCAUACCCAUAUAUUUCUCCGUACUUAAGAAUAGUUCUAUUCUGAACUCUUUGGGGACAUUUUUAUCAUUUUUAUCUUCUAAAUAUUAAUAAUAUUAUUUAAUUUCCAGUAUGAUUUUGUGAAAAUUUUGUUCACCUACAACUAAAAACCUACCAAUUUAAGCCACCAUUUCUAGCCAUUUAUAGAAAGAGAUGUGUAUGUGUGUAUGUAUGUAUGGAUACCUCAAGUCUCUUUUCUACCAUUAGCCUCUCCAUGUAACUAUCACAGGCAUUUUAUAAACCUCUCUACUUCUAACUCCAAAAAUUUCUACGUGCGAUAAUCAUGCAAGAGAUCAUUUCUACCUAGAUUUUAUUUAUGUGGUAUGUGCUACAGUUUCUAUUUUGUCUAUUCAAUUUAUCUGUCAAUUCACCUGCACCUAUUUCCUUUUUUAUUUUUCCAAAUUUCCUUUUUCCCUUGAAUUUAAAAAAAUGAAAAAACUUUGUCUUUAAUUUACAGUUGAUUCUUCUAUUGGAGAUUCUUUU